CUCGGCGGCGCACAACGAGCGGCGCGACGGGCUCCGCCGACUCCCUCCACCGCCCGCCUUCAAGCUGAUCCAGGUACAGAGACAUCACGAGCUCAUCGCCCCCGGAGCCGUCCUACUCACCAACGGAUGCGCCCCCGACGUGUGGAUCCAGAGAAGAAUGCGAAGAUCCCCUCGUCACACUGCAACUCACGGGUCAGUACAGUCUGUACGCGCCAGUGUGAGACUCUGAAUUCUGAUGAAGCAGCAAGACUGGGCAAUGUCGCCGCAGGUUCGAGAGCCAACUGCUUUCAUCUAUUUAUCAUUACUGCAAUUUGGUCAUGCAGCCUUACACAUGU